AUCUUAGCUAUUUCAAUUAAAACCUCAUUUCUCUGUUUUGAAUCGGAAGAAACGUAUAAUAUGCUUAACUUUAGUUGAUUCUUGAGUGAAACUAAACCGUCAAAGUAGGAAAAUUAUGGCGACUACUAAGAAGGAACUUGCAUUUUAAUUUUAUUUUUCGAUUUAAUUCCUUGAAGUUCUAGGGGAUAAGUUCAUGUGUAAAUUCAUAUUUUGAAUCCUUUUCCAAAUCACUCUGUUUCUUUGUCGGUGGAUGGUUUCACCACUCUUGCUUUGUUCAAAUCCAAAACUAAAGCCCCGCCCUAGAAGGUUGAGAAGCCGAAGCAGAGGGUUGAAGAUGGAAUUUUUGGGACUUCUGGUGGCAUUGGUUUUACUAAGCAAAAUGAACUCUUCGUCGAUCGUGUUGCCAUGAUCGACUUUGCUAUAAGAUUUAUGGAUAUAUAUGUUUAUUAUAAAUAUAUUUUAUUUUAUUUUAUUUAUUUUUGGUAAAAUUGAUAGCUAUUUUAACAGAUUUGUUGGACAAUGUAUAAAACUAUAUGUCAAAAUCUUUACUACUAAAAUCAUAAAAUAUUAUUCUGACAUAUUUACCAUUUGUUUUCAAGUUCAAUAUUCUAAAUCAUUCUAAAUUAUUUAGUUUAAUUAUGAGAAUCAGAGGCUUGCUGCUACACAUGGAACCUGGCGGCAAAAGCUUACUCACUUGGGCCAUAGUAGUAGUGUUAAGAAGUUGUAGCAGUCAAGUUGUUUUUGUUUUUUUUUUACUGCUACAUUUUAACUUUUCAUGUUUUACAUUUGUUUUGUGUGUGAAUCUUAUACUAUUUCUUGGAUAAUAUUUCUAAAGGUUAAACAUAGAGAAAAGAGAGCUUAAAGUGAAACUCAAUUUGCUGCAGACAAUGUGUUUGAAAGAAUGUCGAAAUGACAUAUCAGAUAUGUAAAACUAAGCGAUUGAGAAGCAAUGUUUUGUCAUUGUUGAGGUUUACUGAGUUUCAGAUGGAAGGUUGGUUGAACUUGGCAUCGACCUUGAGAUUUACUACCCAUUGCAAUAGUGUUAAGGUGAGCUACUAUCCAUCAGCCAUGAUGUGUUAAGUAAGGUUAGACUUGUUGACUAUCAUUCAUUAUAGGUUGAUCAAAGUUGACUAAACUAGGUGAAGUAUAUCUGGAAGUGUCAAGUUUUACUCUCUAUCACCAACAUGCUCUGUGUCAUUUAUUUGUUGAUCAACGUUUGAAUAUGAAAUAAGCUAUUUGUUUACCAAUCAAUUGUUAUGAACUAUUGUUUUCGUGUGUUGCAGAUGUGAGUUAUAACAAUUUUUUCUCUGGGGAUUUAUACCAUUGAUAAAAAUUGAAAUUCUUAAAUGAAAAAUAGUAUUUGAUGACAAUUAUUUAUCGAAGUAAAUUAGUACUUUCUUUAAGCUAUCAUCUUUCUCAUGGUUUAUUUUUUGGCUUAUUGUGCAUUAGUAAGUAGUUUGCAUUUAUGGUGCUUUUAACUUCUCAAUGACAUCACCUUACGAAUCAUUAUGGCCUUAGAUGUUUACUAUUGACUUGGUUGUUUGAAUUCGUUCUAUUUUUUGGUUAUGUUUCAUUACCAGUAUAACAUAAUUUCACACACUGACUCUAAUAAUGUUGGCUCAAUUGUUGGAGAGGACUCCAUCACUCAGUGAUCUGAAUGAAAUUGUCUAUGGUAAGGUAUCCGGUACCAGUAUUAAUGUAUUUUGUGGUGCCAACUUUGCAAUUACUCAAUCUAGUUUUUCUCUCGGAUUCUACGAAAGAUUUUUCUUCUAAACAGGGGCUUAUAUUUGUAAGAUAUAAACACUUAGAAAACGAAAACUAGUUUUGCUUUCAUAACCUUACUGUAGAUGGGUGACGUUUUAACAGUUGACUGGGUCUUUUAGGAUUGAUGAAAAUUUUUAAACCAUCUUUUGCAUCCUUUUCAUAUAUCGAAGCAUAUGUUAAUAUAUAUUUUAGCCUUUAUCAUUCUACUACGUAUAUCUUGUUCUGGCUCUUGGAUAUUUUUAUAUAAAAUUUCAUUCCAACAAGUUGUAUGAAUGUUGGAACAAUUUGAUUUUCCCUUUCCUGUUGUAGACAUUUUUUUUUAACUUUUGCAUUUGGUUGUAUUUAUUUAUGAUGAUUAGAGUUUUUUACGACAUAAGAAAUAAUAAUAUCUGUAGCCUGCCCAAGCGAAUCAACCCAUUUAAUAAAUGUGUGUUUCUGACUUAUGUUCAAAUGGGCUAUAUAUUUAAUGUUUUACAUGAACUUUUGCAAUUCUCGACUAAAUUUUUAUAGGUUGAAGAUCUAUAUCAUUUUCACUGUGGCGACACAAACGUUGAAAAUCUACAAGUAGGUUGUUUCAUUGUCUCUACUGAAGCGUUUUGUGUUGUCCCUCAAUCCGUCUUCAUGCAAAAUCAAUUUCUCCUAACCCACAUUUUGUUGAUAUUUUGUUCCUUCAUUCGUUCGUUGCGUUUCACCGAUGAACCCCCAUUUCGUGAUGCCGAAUCUCUAUCUGCAUCUCUCUCAUCUGUCUCUCUCAGUCCCCAAGGGUUUUGCAUGUUUGUUGAAGCCGACCCUUCAACGGCGUUGGCUUUAAACACGAUUUCCUUUUGGAAUCUAGGGUUUUGCCUCCAAAGUCAUUUUGUUAAAGGUGACCCUGUAAUUUUCUCCUUGCCGCUUGCGGUUCCAUUGUUGCGGCUGGGUGUUUCGCUUGCCAUUUAGUCAUUUCCUUCACUGAUAAGAUAGAAACUUCACACCGUUGUCUGCCAUUAGGUGCCGAUCGAGCUUGGUAGGGAGGUAUUAGAGUCUUUUGAAUCCAAUUUUUUUUAGCCGAUGAUGAGUUCCCAUUUUCAAUACAAACUGAUUUUCUUUUGGAAUAUAUUUAUUUGUUUGCAUUCUAUUCUCUGUUAUGAUAAUUUAGUUUCGGUAUUGUCUGAUUUUUGUUUUCCAUAUAUGUAUGUAAAGGCAUUUGUCCAUGCUUUUGCGGCCUUCCAUUCUGUCUUAUUGUUUUACAUUGCUCUACUUUAUUUUGGCAUUUCAUUCUGUCUUCUUGCUUUACAUUUUACAUUGUUUUGAUAACAUUUGCUAUCAAUUGUGUUGCCUGAUUUUGUAUUCACAAAAUAUGUUUGAAGUUAUUUACCCACUUUUCUUCCAUAGUAUUGUCUCUUCCAUCUUUUGGGUUAAAAAUUACCUGGCUGCAUAGUAUUGUCUCUUCCAUCUGUAUACACUGUAUGCUUUCUGUAUAGCUUCCAGUGCUGUCUCUUCCAUCUGUUUAGAUUGUAUGCUUUUGAUAUAGCUUUCAGUACAUAGCCUUUGACUCCUUGGACCUUUCGAUGCUUUAUGUCAGUUCUAACAGAGAUUCCCUGUCUUUUAUUGAUGGAUAGCUUCCAGUGUAUUACUUUCCUCUUUAUUUUUUGGUUUGCUUCCAUUAAGGCCCUCCCAACUUGCCUCAUCUUCCCCUAUAUAUACACCACGUUUCCUCUUUUCAUUUACUGCAUUCUUCUCUCUGUUUGUAUCUUCUCCUUCGUAAGUUACCUUUUUUUGCUGAUUCUUCAUUUAAGUUACCCUACAUAUUCUUGCAAUUAACUUCUGUCCUCCUUUCUCACUGUUUUGUAUGCACUUAUAUAUUCAUCUAUUUUUAUUGAUAUUUACCUUAUAUGUUUUUGGUAUAUGCUUCUGUCUUCCUUUCUCACUUAUGAACUCUUUACUAUGUACUUAUAUUCA